rnacentral:pre_miRNA from 4 species
AGUGCUAUUGCUGGGUUUUAUGGUAAGUAUGUUUAUUUUUAUAAGAAACUCCCAAAUUAUUUCCUAGAGUGACUGUACCAUUUUACAUUCCCACAGCAAU